rnacentral:rRNA from 1 species
UUCCGGUAAAGGAUGGGGAUGCGUUCAUUAGGUUGUUGGUGAGGUAACGGCUCACCAAGCCUUCGAUGGAUAGGGGUUCUGAGAGGAAGGUCCCCCACAUUGGAACUGAGACACGGUCCAAACUCCUACGGGAGGCAGCAGUGAGGAAUAUUGGUCAAUGGGCGCUAGCCUGAACCAGCCAAGUAGCGUGAAGGAUGAAGGCUCUAUGGGUCGUAAACUUCUUUUAUAUAAGAAUAAAGUGCAGUAUGUAUACUGUUUUGUAUGUAUUAUAUGAAUAAGGAUCGGCUAACUCCGUGCCAGCAGCCGCGGUAAUACGGAGGAUCCGAGCGUUAUCCCGGAUUUAUUGGGUUUAAAGGGAGCGUAGGUGGACUGGUAAGUCAGUUGUGAAAGUUUGCGGCUCAACCGUAAAAUUGCAGCUGAUACUGUCAGUCUUGAGUACAGUAGAGGUGGGCGGAAUUCGUGGUGUAGCGGUGAAAUGCUUAGAUAUCACGAAGAACUCCGAUUGCGAAGGCAGCUCACUGGACUGCAACUGGACACUGAUGCUCGAAAGUGUGGGUAUCAAACAGGAUUAGAUACCCUGGUAGUCCACACAGUAAACGAUGAAUACUCGCUGUUUGCGAUAUACAGUAAGCGGCCAAGCGAAAGCAUUAAGUAUUCCACCUGGGGAGUACGCNNGGCAA